rnacentral:lncRNA from 1 species
GAAUCGCUCAGGAAGUAGAUGUUCAGCAUUAACCAUGCGGUGUUUAGAUAUGAGUCACUGAGUGACCUUUAAUUUACUCUACAUCUUCAAAAUCAGGCAGUGUGAAGAAAAAUGAGGCAGUAGAUUGUAGAUUUAUUUCCAUUUCAGAUCAACUAAGAGUCACUUGCUGUUUUUAUAGCAGAAUGGAGAAACACAACCAAGGAGAUACACCUAAGUAACAAUAGCAAUGAUGUCAAAAAGAGUGCCUGAAUACUUAGGAUGGAGGUCCUGGACAUGCAAACCCAAGCCUCCUCUUUGCUGUGGCCAGGAAUCUGCAGUGAUUGAGAGCACAGACUGUAUCUAAAAUUCCACCUUUCAAAGUUCAGCAUAUUACUUUUUUUUUUUCUUACACCUAUAGUAGAGGGAAAGAAAGGAUGUUCCUAUCCAUUCUUAAGGUACAGAGGAAUGAAGAAGGAAUAAACAGACCUUCUGGAUAAUUGCAUCAGUCUUCCCCACUAUU